UACGUAGGCAGCAAGCGUUGUUCGGAUUUACUGGGCGUAAAGGGUGCGUAGGCGGCUCUGUAAGUAUGGUGUGAAAUCUCCCGGCUUAACUGGGAGGGUGCGCUAUAGACUGCGGGGCUCGAGUGUGGGAGAGGAAAGUGGAAUUCCUGGUGUAGCGGUGAAAUGCGUAGAUAUCAGGAGGAACACCGGCGGUGUAGACGGCUUUCUGGACCGUAGCUGACGCUGAGACACGAAAGCGUGGGUAGCAAACAGG
rnacentral:rRNA from 1 species